UGCCAUGAUGGUGUAAUUUGCGUCCGACCCCGUGGACGGCGACAGUUGCCUUCUGUCACCAUGCCGCUACGGGAGGUUGACGAAAAUAUAAUUCUGAGCA
ensembl:snoRNA SNORD16 Small nucleolar RNA SNORD16